AGGUGGUUCAGUGGAUAGAGCACUGGAUUUGGAAUCAAGAAGACCUGUGUUCAAAUCCAGCCU
rnacentral:tRNA from 1 species